AUCCUUUUGCAGUUCACGAGCGUGAUGACUGGGUAUUCAUGCAUUUGUGUGACAUGUGCCCACCUCAAACCUUGUUGCAACAUUGGCACAUUACCCUCUGACG
ensembl:snoRNA